GCAGUCGCCGCGGUAAUACAGAGGGUGCGAGCGUUAAUCGGAUUUACUGGGCGUAAAGCGUGCGUAGGCGGCUUCUUAAGUCGGAUGUGAAAUCCCUGAGCUUAACUUAGGAAUUGCAUUCGAUACUGGGAAGCUAGAGUAUGGGAGAGGAUGGUAGAAUUCCAGGUGUAGCGGUGAAAUGCGUAGAGAUCUGGAGGAAUACCGAUGGCGAAGGCAGCCAUCUGGCCUAAUACUGACGCUGAGGUACGAAAGCAUGGGGAGCAAACAGGAUUAGAUACCCCGGUAGUCCCUGUCUCUUAUAA
rnacentral:rRNA from 1 species